UCCUGUUUGCCCAGACUGGACACAACACUCGAGGUGUGACCUCACAAAGGGACAAUGCCCUCCCCGCUCAGCAUGGCUCCAUGGAGAGAGCUAAUUAACCUGGCAUAAUUAACCUCUGCAUCCACACCAGCCCUGCUCUGAGCAUCCCAGCCGAGCCAUUUCCAGUUUGUUCUCCCCACCUCAGAGCCCCCCCAGCCAGUGGAGCUGAGUUCAGGGCUCAGACCCAGCUCAGCGGGCAGCAAAUGUGGUCCCUGGGGAGGCUGGGGGGGAGACAAGCCACAAAUUCCUGGUUUUGUGCAGGAAGGGGCAGGACACAGCUCACAGCACUGCCAGGAAAAGGGGACACACAUCAGGCACAUUCCAGCGGUCCCACAAGCAGCUGAACUCACACAGAGCUUCUGUGACUUCAGCUGGACCUGCCACAGCAGCACAGACACGUGUGGCAGAAGUGUUGAUCAGCACAGCCAGCCCACAUAUGAUCUGUACAUCGAGGGGAAGCUCAGCCUGAGAUCCUGUUCCAAAUUAAAAGCAGCUCUGCUGCAAUUAAUCACAGCCUGGUUGAUGAAGCACACACUGAAAGGACAACAAGAAUUCUGGGAAGCUCAGCCUGUCAUCUGCAGCCACAACAAGUCUGCUUUAAACCUCAGGACAGCGAGGGUUUGUCACCCAGCCCCUGGUCUGAGCUGCUCUCAACACUGGCCCCAAAGCAGAUGGCCCAGAAGGUCCCAAAAUAUCAUUUACAAAAGUUUUGAUUUCUCUAUCACAAAAUUAAAUAACACCCAUCCAACUGG